rnacentral:piRNA from 1 species
UGGGAGGACAAAUGGCUGGUAAAUCACCA